rnacentral:tRNA from 1 species
UCCGAAGUAGCUCAGUUGGUUAGAGCAUCUGACUGUUAAUCAGAGGGUCGUAGGUUCAAGUCCUACCUUCGGAG